UUUUCUCACUCCUCACUCCCUCAGUCAUCACUCCUCUUUCUCGCACUUCGUCAUAAACUUCUUGUUUUCCAAAAUCGAUUCAUCGCACUCUGAAAGCAACAACAAUGUCCAUGGAUCGAUGAUGUCCUGCAUUUCCAAGUCGUUCUCUUCCUGGCCGGGCAUUAGACUCCAGCUUCGAGUAAAUUCCAUCAAUAUUGCUUUGCUUUUGUUGGAUUUCAUACUUUAAUUGGAGAUCGAUGUUAAUAUUACAAGAAACCCUAGCUUUCUAAGAGUUUGAUUUUAGUUUUAGAACUCUGUUUCAAAUUUUAUCGAUCUUGAUGUAUAAAUUAAUUCAAAAUUGUUGAGGACAUGAUUAUUUUAUUAAUAUGAUUCCUUGUUAUGUAUGUAAUUGAUGAUUUGUAGCUACAGAAGUAUACUAUGAAUAAGAGUCUAAAGUUUUAGUUUC